rnacentral:rRNA from 1 species
AGUAAUGUCUGGGAAACUGCCUGAUGAGGGGGAGUAACUACUGGAAACGGUAGCUAAUACCGCAUAACGUCGCAAGACCAAAGUGGGGGACCGUUCGGGCCUCAUGCCAUCAGAUGUGCCCAGAUGGGAUUAGCUAGUAGGUGGGGUAACGGCUCACCUAGGCGACGAUCCCUAGCUGGUCUGAGAGGAUGACCAGCCACACUGGAACUGAGACACGGUCCAG